CCUACGGGGGGCUGCAGUCGAGAAUCAUUCACAAUGGGGGAAACCCUGAUGGUGCGACGCCGCGUGGAGGAUAAGGUCUUCGGAUUGUAAACUCCUGUCAUGUGAGAGCAAGGCUUUCCGGGUAAUAUCCGGGGAGUUUGAUAGUAUCACAAGAGGAAGAGACGGCUAACUCUGUGCCAGCAGCCGCGGUAAUACAGAGGUCUCAAGCGUUGUUCGGAAUCACUGGGCGUAAAGGGUGCGUAGGCGGCUUGGUAAGUCAGAUGUGAAAGGCGGGG
rnacentral:rRNA from 1 species